GGUCUUUCUGUUUCUAAGUGGAAGCUGAAUUAGUGAGGAUGACUCCUGCUCCUGUCAUCUCUAAGCUCCUCACACAUCUUUACCUGCACAUGAGGAAAAUCACUCCUGUAGAAUGCAGAUGUUCAGAGGGAGAUGAUGCCACAUCUGGUCCAGCUGAUGGAAGGUCUUGAAGUUCUCUGACUGGCCUCGACUGAAGAUGGUCGUCUCACUGUAUUUAAGGUUCAGAUGCUCAGUAACAAACUCCACCAAUGUGCCAACAGGGAAGCUUUAGGUUUAUUAAAUGUUGCUAUGAAGGUAUCGCUGUUUUUCUUUGUGAAUGCAAUGUGUUCCAACUGAAACUUGAAUUAGAACUUAGAAGUAAAUCCUUCCAUCUGAAAGGAUCUAGUUGCAUUAAUAACCUCAUAACAUUCUAAUUUUUAUUCCAGUCUUGGUUGGAAAUAGAAUCUCUGUAUUGAUUCAGGUAAAAACUGAACUUCACAGCAUGUUGGAGCAAAACAACCAGAUGAAAACUGUGAUGGUGUUGGAUUGUCAGACCGUAAUGUUGCAGCUCAAAGCAGCUUUUCUAUCUCAGUUCAUUCUGACAUUCAGCUAUGAAUCAACACAGCAGAUGGUGAUCCAUGCUGUGGAAGUCUCACAUCUCCUGAUUUAAUGGAGCUGCUUUGCACUUUUUACACUGUUUAUUCACCAACACUUUAUUUAAUAAAAGUCCCAUCUAGUUUUUAUGAGGAAUGUGAUGUUUUAAUUUCUCUGUGAAUAACUGCAGUCUAAUGCAACAGCUGGAGUUGUAACAUCUGUCCUGAUAUUGAUCAUGAAGUAUUGAUCAGAAUACUUAUGGUUAGCAGUCAUCCCUGAAGUUUUAUAUUAAAAUCUUUACUUGUGUUGUGAACUUUGGUAAGAAGCAGAAACUUUUGCGUUGCCAUGGAUACAUGAGUGUUAAAUUCUGUCCAUGUUUCCAUUUUGGGAAAUUCAGUCCAGUACCAGAAUGUGGAGGAAUUUAGUCUCACAAUCACAGACAACAAAUAUUAUCUGAAAGUCGGGUUAUUGUUGUUUAUCAGCACAAUACAAAAAGAUUAAUGUUAGAAAUAUUCCAGUUAAGACUCUAAAAUAUUAUGAUUUAUGUAAAUUUACCUCAACAAUAUGAAUGUUCAGGUUAAGAUUGUGCAGUGAUAUUUAUUAUGUAAGUUUAGCUGAUUAAAGUUUAUGACUCUGCACUAAAAUAUUAUUUAAAUUUACAUCAUUAUUAUAAUAUUUAGGGUCAGACCUUACAGUAUUGAGAUUAAGAAAUCAAAUAUUCUA
ensembl:lncRNA